rnacentral:rRNA from 1 species
UCUUCUAGCUUGCUAGAAGUGGAUUAGUGGCGCACGGGUGAGUAAUGCAUAGGUUAUGUGCCCUUUAGUCUGGGAUAGCCACUGGAAACGGUGAUUAAUACUGGAUACUCCCUACGGGGGAAAGUUUUUCGCUAAAGGAUCAGCCUAUGUCCUAUCAGCUUGUUGGUGAGGUAAUGGCUCACCAAGGCUAUGACGGGUAUCCGGCCUGAGAGGGUGAUCGGACACACUGGAACUGAGACACGGUCCAGACUCCAACGGGAGGCAGCAGUAGGGAAUAUUGCUCAAUGGGGGAAACCCUGAAGCAGCAACGCCGCGUGGAGGAUGAAGGUUUUAGGAUUGUAAACUCCUUUUGUUAGAGAAGAUUAUGACGGUAUCUAACGAAUAAGCACCGGCUAACUCCGUGCCAGCAGCCGCGGUAAUACGGAGGGUGCAAGCGUUACUCGGAAUCACUGGGCGUAAAGAGUGCGUAGGCGGGGUAAUAAGUCAGAUGUGAAAUCCUGUAGCUUAACUACAGAACUGCAUUUGAAACUGUUACUCUGGAGUGUGGGAGAGGUAGGUGGAAUUCUUGGUGUAGGGGUAAAAUCCGUAGAGAUCAAGAGGAAUACUCAUUGCGAAGGCGACCUGCUGGAACAUUACUGACGCUGAUGCACGAAAGCGUGGGGAGCAAACAGGAUUAGAUACCCUGGUAGUCCACGCCCUAAACGAUGGAUGCUAGUUGUUGCCUUGCUUGUCAGGGCAGUAAUGCAGCUAACGCAUUAAGCAUCCCGCCUGGGGAGUACGGUCGCAAGAUUAAAACUCAAAGGAAUAGACGGGGACCCGCACAAGCGGUGGAGCAUGUGGUUUAAUUCGAAGAUACGCGAAGAACCUUACCUAGGCUUGACAUUG